UAUCCCCCAAAUGAAUAACAAAUGGAUGAAAGGCAGGAAAACGAAACAGAAAGGCAGUAAUAAGCCAACACAUAUUGAUUAAAUAUACUAUUUAUUGUAUGCUUAGCAAUGUUGCCAAAACCUUGUAUUUUGUUAGCUGAAUUUGGCUUGAAGUUUCCCAUGGUAGAACUCAACUUCAAUAUCUUCUGCUUUUCAUCUUGGCAAAUACUUAAUCAACUUAUUAAGAAAAAAAAAGAGCAUCCCUGCCUCCGGCAUUCAGUUUUCUCCUUUGCAUUCUGUACGUUGUUGUCUGUCCUGUAGAAGAGUGAGCAGCUGGGAUUCUUGACUCCUCUAUCUCUUCCCCACCACCAGCUCAAUGGCUAGUGGGCUAUUAGGAAGCAGUAUGGCUUCCAGGUGUUGUAUCAGAUGCUCAACUAAUCAUAGCAUCAGAAUUAAAAUAUUUAGUUGCAAGGAAAACAGCUGUGGGUGGCUGAAGGACCAACCUUCUAAACUCUGAGUCAUCCCCUGGAAUGGACUGCUGUGUAAAUAUAUUCACACCCACCCAAUUUAUCUCGACCUCCAGAAAUUAUCUUGAACAAAGCAGGCAUUUCACUGCAUUGGCUCUCAGACUUGCCUUCCUGGAAACAACCUUUUCUGGAAGGGAGGCUCAAGACAUAUUUACUAAGAACUCUGAACCACCAGGAAGCCUUAAAGCAAGACCUGUGCUUCUAUAGUUCACAUAUUCUAUCCUAUGAAAGAUGUAGAUAAGUAUUAAUUUAGAAUCUUCUUCAACCUGUUCAGCUGUGUUGCAAAAUAGUAGAUACGUUUCCCAGUAAAGAAUUGAAAUACCAGCAACUGGCACUGAUAGCUAAUGCUCCAUUAUUUCUGUGCAUAAAUCCACGCUGAACUUCCCUUUUUUUUCUUGUUUUUUGUUUUUUUGAGGCAGUAUUUCACUCUGUCACCCAGGCUCACUGCAACCUCCAUUCCCAGGUUCAAACAGUCCCCCCACCUCAGCCUCCCAGAGUAGCUGGGACUACAGGUGUGUGCCACCACACCCAGCUAAUUUUUGUAUUUUUUUUGGUAGAGACAGUCUUUCACCAUGUUGGCCAGACUGGUCUUGAACUCCUCAUUUCAAGUGAUCUGCCCGCCUCAGCCUCCCAAAAUGCUGGGAUCACAGGCAUGAGCCACCAUACCCAGCCUAUGAACAUUCCAUAACCAUUUUGCCCUUGUGAUGUCAUCACUCUACCAUUUUGUUUCUGGACUAUCUCCCUGCAACAUAAGGGGUCUCACUAUGUUCCCCGGGCUGGUCUUGAACUCCAGGACUCAAGGGAUCCUCCUGCCUCAGCCUCCAAAAGUGCUGGGAUUACAGGCGUGGGCCACCACGCCCAGUCUGUCAGAACAUUUUCAAGAGAAUGGGAGGAUCAACUAAUCUGGAGACUUGGUUAAAUGGAGGUCUAUCAGAGAGCCUCUACUGUACUUCAUAAUUUUACUUCAUUCUUUCUUGAAAAUGUGCACUAUAAUUGUUUGAAUUCCCUAGGUUAAAAAUCUCCGUAUAAAUGUCCUUCAUUCUUCUUUUGACUACUGAAAGUCAAUAACACUUUAUCAGUGCACACGAACUCCCACAUAUACUUCCCACACGGGCUGUUUCAAAUUCUUCCUAGCUCAUAGUUCUCAGUUCCUCCUCACUGCUGUCAUUAAAGUUGAUGACCUCUGUCACCUUCCUGUGGUGGGGCAGUUUGUAUGGUGCUAGUACAACCAAGGUAUACUAAGGAUCAUGCUCUUUUCCACUGACUGGAAGCAACCUGCCAACCCUGACCAUCAUGCCUAUAAGGGCUCGUGGAUUUUACAACAUGGAUGAUGAAGGAGAGGAUGGAAUAACAGCUCCAGGGGAGCAUUCACAUGGACUCAGAAAAUAAUUCUGAAUGCAGGCUUCACUGAGUCCAGACUUCAAGAGUGGUCUUCUUGAGAUAAAUCAAGAUAUAUCUAUCAUCACAACUCUGGCUAACUUUUCACCUGAGUGUUUCCCCGUGUCUAUCACUUUUUCCUUUUCCAAAAGUCUCAAAGAAAGAGUGGAUCCCUUUCAAAGGCUAACAACCCUCCUGUGUUCCAAAUUCCAUUUCCUUCUUGCAGUCAAAAUCUCCUCCCCCA
rnacentral:lncRNA from 1 species